rnacentral:rRNA from 1 species
AUUGAACGCUGGCGGCGGGCCUAACACAUACAAGUCGAACGAGUGGCGGAGGGGUGAGUAAUGUCUGGGAAACUGCCCGAUGGAGGGGGAUAACUACUGGAAACGGUAGCAAAUACCGCAUACCAUCGGAUGUGCCCAGAUGGGAUUAGCUAGUAGGGGGGGUAACGGCUCACCUAGGCGACGAUCCCUAGCUGGUCUGAGAGGAUGACCAGCCACACUGGAACUGAGACACAGUCCAGACUCCUACAGGAGGCAGCAGUGGGGAAUAUUGCACAAUGGGCGUAAGCAUGAUGCAGCCAUGCCGCGUGUAUGAAGAAGGCCUUCGGGUUGUAAAGUACUUUCAGCGAGGAGGCGUUACUCGCAGAAGAAGCACCGGAUAACUCCGUGCCAGCAGCCGCGGUAAUAC